rnacentral:hammerhead_ribozyme from 2 species
UAGCGAAACGCCCCACGGGGCGUCUAUCGGGCGUGGUGGCCCGGUACUGAUGAGCAGCCAAUC